rnacentral:rRNA from 1 species
ACACCCUACGGGAGGCAGCAGUGAGGAAUAUUGGCCAAUGGGCGGAAGCCUGAACCAGCCAAGUCGCGUGAGGGAAUAAGGCCCUACGGGUCGUAAACCUCUUUUGCCGGGGAGCAAGGGCCGGGACGCGUCCCGGCCCGGAGAGUACCCGGAGAAAAAGCGUCGGCUAACUCCGUGCCAGCAGCCGCGGUAAUACGGAGGAUGCGAGCGUUAUCCGGAUUUAUUGGGUUUAAAGGGUGCGUAGGCGGGCUUUUAAGUCAGCGGUAAAAAUUCGGGGCUCAACCCCGUCUGGCCGUUGAAACUGG